GCCCUUUUGAGUACAAAAAGGGAAUGUCAUGUCUGGUACACCUUGAUGCUGGGGGAUGUCAAUAUUUUGGGCCUGGUUUCUGCUCUGAACAGAAAAUUGCAUCUGCUCCCAGAGCUGAUGUUAGGUGUGAUUAGGUGUUAGGUGUGUUAGGUGAUUAGGUGUUCAGGGUAACUGUGUGUGUACUGAAGGGACACUCCAUUGGAUUGUUACUCUUGAUUAAUAGAAUUAUCAUAAGAGAAAACUUAUCUCAGUGCAAUCAUCCCAUUAUUUGAUGGGAGAGCCUGUUCCGUGCACAUAACUCUAAAUAAUGUAGGGGCUAAAUCUGAAUCUAAGGCUGAGUUUACAGGAAAAGUGAGCAUCUGCAUGGCAAUGGAUGAGAUUUCUCCAGGUGGGAAGUGUGGGGUGGUCCAAGAAGAGGGCCAGGCUCACAUUCUCUUUUCAUGCUGCACUUUCUGCUUUUCCUGCUCUGGAUGGGGCAUUGAUGUGAUCUGUUGCAGGUAAGCCUCUCCUCAAAGGCUCUAAUCUUAGGUUCAAGACUAGUUAAACACUUGCAAAAGUUAUGAAAGACAGCACUUACUAUAACAUAGCUUAGUGCAGAGAACUAAAUAUUGUGCUUUUUAUAGAUUUUAUAAUUCUUCCAAAGAAUUUCCAGUAGAAAUCUAAGAUAUGAGCAAUAGUAGCACAAGGAAUAUGCUCCUCAGUGCUUGUAUGGAGUAAAUCCAGGUGAGCUGCAGCUCCAAACACUUGAGGAAAUUGGGUAGGUGUGCUGAAGCAGAAAGCACUGACAAUUUUGGCAACUCCUAAAAUGCCACUGAGUGCAGCAGAAGAGAGCAGAGCAGCUUUCUUUCCAGCCAGCUUGUCUUCCGUCUCUUUCUUUCUCACAGCUGCCUUUGUCUACUGUCUAUGCAAAUACCUACACUACAUGCCUCAUGAGUUUUCUGGCCUUUUGUGUUUUUCCCAGAUACCUCAUUUUUCCAGGGAGGUUGUGGAAGUGUUUGUGCCUGUUUGUGUGCACAGUGAACAAUGCCAUGGACUACUCAGUGCAGUGAUAAAUUGUGCUCACUCCCAUGUCAGCACUUGGCAAUUGAUGGCACUGGUGGGGUUGAAGCCUCACAGCUCAUGGUGUGUUCUCAUUCUCUGUGUGCUUUUCCUGGUGCACUGAAGCUCCCAUGCUCUCCUGCAGCAGAAGUCUGGAAUUUGCCCUGCCAGAUCUGCUUGAGGUGGAAUGUGGAGCUCUGGAACAGCAGUGGUAGGUGGCUUGCCUGUAUUCCCUUCCAGCUUUUCCAGAUGAUAAUUCCCUGCUUCCACCUGGCUCUAGGAGUCAUUAGUGGGUGACAGCUCUCUGAAGCAUCCAUAGAGCUCCUCUGCCCUUCCUGUUUGAACUGCAUGUUUCAGAUGUGUUAUCAAGACAUUGCCAUUGUGCAGAUACAGAUUAGUUCUUGAGACUGAUUUUUCUGCUUCACCAGUUCUUUUGUAGCUGCCAGAACUAAUUGCUUACAUUACAUUACCAGUCUGGGCCUCUAUCACUCCCUGGAUGAUGCCAUCCGUUGGAAUACAGCUGCAUACUUAAAUGCACUUCUUAACUAUAUUUUACCAUUUCUGCCCAUGUUUGCAACUGACAGAAUUGUCCCUGAUUUUUUUCGCUGACCCCCACUACGUGCUAGAAAUUGUAUAAUAGCUGAACUGAUUCACUUGCCAUUUCUACCUCUAGAAUUUCCAGAUUUUUCCGAUUUAAUGGGAGUUUAACAAAACUAUGUAUAAAUUCUGUCUACAAAUAAUCUUUCCUUUCUGAGACUGGGUAAAGUUGCUCAGAAGUAACAUUGUAGUGACUGUUGAUACUCAGAAAACUUAAAGCUUCCGAAAGGCAGAAUGAAAAUGUGGAAGUGCAUCAAAGCCUAUCCCUCUUGCAUAGUAAAAGGGUUUUUUUUUUUAUUGUCCAGCUGUAUUGAAUCUUCAUUCCAAGACAUAAAAACCUCUAUAUCCACUAACUGUGCUGUGCUGUCACACCAACACUGGCUGUCACUACAAAUUCCUGGAUGGUGCCUGUGCAUUCAAAUACUCAGGUUAUGUGGACAUCAGCUGACCUUUUCUUCUGAAGAGAGAACAUCACAGUUCUGCAUACUACCCAAUACUUGUUAAACAACCCUAAAAGGCACUCAGGGUGAUUUGUUCCAGCCCUGGCUUCCUUCAGACACAUGAUGCAGACCAAUUAGUGACUGGGGACACACAGCUGAAGGUUUUUCACUGGUUUAUUUGCUCUGUGGCUGAAUUAUCAGACUUGUGAGCAUGUAUCUGUCACAUGGAACUGAAUUUGUACUUACGGAUUUGAGUCCAAAGUGACAAUUUUGGGUAACCCACUUUUGUUCUUGAUAUAUUCUGCUCCAAAGCCUUUCAGUUUCCUUCAGCACUCCUUCAGCUUCUUCUCACCAACCUCUUUCCUUAUUUUGGUUUGUUAGUUGCUGUUAAAUGAAACCUGAUGCUUUUCCUAGAGUAUUGCACUUCUCCAAGCUGAAAAACUUUUACAGAGCUGCGAGGUGAGGCACAUCCUAAACUUCUCAGAAUCUUUUGCUGCCUGCUUCUCCACCUCAGCUCACAGGAGGAGUGCUCCCAGCCCUGCAUGCAGGGAAGCACAGCUUCCAUCCAGAGUGGAUGUUGGAAACAGGGUCCCACACAAAGGGGGAGAUUGGAAGUUUUAUCCCUGCCACAGAAUAUGGGGUAAAUGCACAGCAGGAGAGGGGCUGAGGGGCAGGAAAGCCGCUGAAGUCAUGAACCAAAAUAAACUUCACAAACAAGUUGUACUGCGAUUUCCUACAGACUGUAUCUCCUCUCAGAUCAUUGCAGCUAUUUCCUUGUGGGAGGUGGGCAGCAGAAUUUAUUCAGUGGUUUCAGAAUUAGAUUUCUCAAAGGGAGAAGGGAGUGGGGAGGAACACAAACCACUGUGGCUGUAUCGGAUGCUGAUUUAAUUUACAUUUGUGGUGAUUGGAUUGCAGUAAUUUCCCUGGAGAGCAGCUUCUGAGAUAAUAAUUUCCAAAGACAAGCUUAGCCAUGGCAAGCUGAGGACUUCCUGAAACAGGAUGGCCUACUGAGAAAAACGUCUCUUUAAACUUGUGUGGGUUCAGCCAAAUUUAAUAGGAAUUCAAAGGAUAGGAAAGCAUGGAGAGACUGUCUUGCAGGCACAGCAAGUUCACUUGUGGAAAGAUUCUGUUGUUGGUAAAAUUGUUUGCUAUAAAAUGAUCUUCCAGGGAAUUGCAUUCAAUAUUCUUAGAAAAGGUCUGUGGGGAGUUUGGGAGAGAUUAAUAAGGAGCCUGGUAUAUUAUCAGUUAUCCAUGCCAAGUACUCAAAAAUCUGCACAUCCAUAAAAUCCUUAGAGCAGAAGAGUGGACAGGGUUUGGCCAUAAUCACAUUGCACAAUAGGAGAAAAAUCUCAAGUUCUGACUGGUUUUGGUUUCUGUCUCACUUCUGUGACAAUGUUGUCACCUGUCUCCCUACAGAGAAGGAGUUUCAGUCCUCUUCUUUACCUGGAGAGCUUCAGUCCGGUCCACCAUGGUCCAUCUCAAAGAGAGCUCUGAGUUGGAAUGCUUUCAGAUUUCUUUGUAUUAUUCUGUCUGAUACAAAGAUUUUCUACAUUGCUCCAUUCCAAUCUCCAGCACAUGUCUGACAAACUGGUUUGAAGAUCUACUUUUGGUGAUAAAGGCCACAAAACAAAAGAGAAAAUAGUGAGAGAUCAGUAGUAACGUGUGGAAAUCUGCAUCUUUUGAGGAAGAAACCACAUUUUUCUCCGUUCUGUGAGACAGCAACAAAUUGUGGUCAGCA